GGUUAAGCGACUAAGCGUACACGGUGGAUGCCCUGGCAGUCAGAGGCGAUGAAGGACGUGCUAAUCUGCGAAAAGCGUCGGUAAGGUGAUAUGAACCGUUAUAGCCGGCGAUGUCCGAAUGGGGAAACCCAGUGCAAUUCGUUGCACUAUCGUUAACUGAAUACAUAGGUUAACGAGGCGAACCGGGGGAACUGAAACAUCUAAGUACCCCGAGGAAAAGAAAUCAACCGAGAUUCCCCCAGUAGCGGCGAGCGAACGGGGAGCAGCCCGGAGUCUGAAUCAGCUUGUGUGUUAGUGGAAGCGUCUGGAAAGUCGCAGGGUACAGGGUGAUACUCCCGUACACUAAAA
rnacentral:rRNA from 1 species